CCUCCAGCGCAGCAGAGCAGCAGGAGACGGGCGAGGCCAUGUUGCACGAGGGAGGAGGAGUAGCCCGGGAAGAUACGGAGGCUUGGGAGGCAGUGAGGGGCUGGGGGAGGAGCAGAGGCAGGGAAGGAGGGAGGCAGAGGCUGCAUACCAGGCUGUAUCCUGUGGAGAUAAGCAGGGCCCUGAAGUCAUCCGAGUCCAUGCUGCCUGUCUGCUUCUGCUCCCAGGACGCAGGCAUAGCAGAGGCCAGGCCCAGAGCAGGCCCAUGUGCACAGCGGACAGACAGCACAGGAGGCAGCAGGGAGACCAGGAACACGAGCACUGAUUACUUUGGUCUAACUGAAUGACUCUCGGCACAAGUGGGUGGACGGACACUCCUGAGGACACUAUGAAACGUGUCCUGCUGUCCUUCCCUUCAUAAAGAUCUCAGACACUUGCUGGCCCUGGCAGACUAGGGCUCUGGAUUCAAAUGGCCCACAGGAACUGUGGUAUGGCUACGGGUAGCAGUGCAGAGGAUUCUGGGUGUAAAACCUCAGAGGAAACGGUAGGGGAAUGCUAAGCACACAGGCACCAUCCCUGCCUUGAAGACUGAUUUACGUUGACGCCAGCCAGGCAUUACACCCUAGUGUGGCCUGGUAGGUGAUGGCCCUGGGCCUGGGGGAGAGGGGGAGAACUCACCGAGACCAUCCUGCCCUCGGAAGGCAUGAAGGCGGGUCGGUUGCUGAGCCGCAGCUUGGUCUGCAGCGUGUUGAAGUUGAUCUCUAACUGGCACUUCUCCUGCACCUUGGGGGGCUUGUGAACACGCCGAUAGUCUCGGAAGUCCUCCAGCUUCUGCUGCAUCUCCUGGAUGGUCUUCUGAGGCACACGGUCCUCUAGCCAGGGGAUGGUGCGUCGGAUCCACUCAAGAAGCUGUGGGCCCAUAGGAAGCCAUGGCAGUCAUUACAGAGAUGCUCAGAGUGCUGAAGCCUUCCCCCUUCCCCCCAAGACACAGACUUACAAGAACUACCUUGCCUCCAAACCCAAAUGCUCCACUGUUUCUGUUGGGGCCCACAGCAUAGAGUUCUGGCAAUGUGUGAUGUUCCUGGAACACUGGCUAACCCCUACUUUCUGUUCAUGCCUCUGCUGAGUCUUCUUUGCCCAGAUGAAGUGGGCGGGUUCAAGUCUACCGUCCCUUCCUACAAGACCCUGUCCAUGCUGUCACAGGACUCUGACUCUUGCUCUGCCUAGGUUUAGUGACCAUGGCUGACACAAUAGUAAGGGUCUACGGUGUGUGUGCCUUGGUUAGAUGGCCAGUGUACACACAGGCCAGGCACCUAAAAAUAGAGUGCUUUUCUAUGUAUUCUGAUGACCUACGUGGAUCUCUGACAGGGUGAGGAAGAGUACCAACAAGCCAACAGACUGAUCUUCAAAACCUAUCCAGAACAGUGAAGUCAGCUAUCAUCAGCACAGGCAGCAUGCUUUCUUAGUUGCAAAGACAAAGCCAAGAACAGAGGCGCAGGGCUGGGUAUGCACCUGGUGAAUGGUACCCAAGAACAUGACUUCUGCCUUCACUUUGGUUGGGAAUGACAGUGGCAUCUGCCUUCUGUUCUAUCAGCACUGACAGGAGCCCCAGCAACUAACUACAUCUCGGCCCUAGCUCUGCCAGUAUAAAAUCCUCACCGGGGUGGAAGUCGGCCACUUGGGUUGGUUGGUGAACAUCUUUCAAGUUUUCCCACUCCACAAAAUCUUACUGCCUGGGGUGGGUGAGGAUGUGGCUCAGAGGGCGAGCGCUUGCCUGGCACACAUGAGGCCCCUUCUUUGACAUUCAGCACCUCAGACUCCUGGGGCCUAGGAGUCAUGGUUCUAAGGACACAGACGUCCUCUUUGGAAGCUGAAACUGAACGUCUUGGUAAGAACAAGUUCUGGACUCAAGCAUGAUACUGCCGCCCGAAAACUUCUGUAUUCCGUAUCUCACGGCUUUAGCUACUUUCUCAGCAAAAUCAUGUUUGUUAUUCUAGCACUUGGGGGGUAGAGGCAGGAGGAUUGGAAGUCCAAGGCCAGCCUGGGCUAUGUAAGGUUCCAUUUACUACCCCUCCUGUCUCCCUGUGUACCCCACCCCCACAAAAGCCCCAAACCUUCAUUUUUAAUUUGAUGUGUAUGGAUA